GCCAGAAUGGCAAGGUGAUUUGAGUGUUGGACUAUGACUCUGAAGGCCAGGGUUCAAUUCCCUACUUGGACA